UAAAUUUCCGACGCUUCCUUACGACAGCGCCGCUCGAAGAGAUCUACAGGUGCCGUCUUCUUCGCAAUACGUGAUGGGCAUCGAGCUCUUGGACGAUGACGACUCCAGCACCGAUGAAGCCGACUUAUCUAAGCUUGAGAUCAAUGAAGAUUUCGCCAAGCGAUUUGAGUACAACAAGAAGCGCGAGGCUCUCCAGAAGUGCGAGGAGCUCAGAAAGCGCGGCCUCAUCUCCGACUCCGACGAAUCUUCUGAUGAAUCUUCUGAAGAAGAAGAGAUAAAGGAUGACUACCAGUUCUACGACGCCCUUGUUAGGGUGAAGAAGAAUGACCCCAUUGUCAUGCAAAAGGACGCGAAGCUCUUUGCCUCAUCAUCCGAAGGUGAAGAAGAAGAGGAGGAUAAAAAGUCUGGGGUUACUAAAAAGGCGAAGCCUUUGUACUUGAAGGAUGUUAUGGCUAGGCAGUUGAUGGAAGAGGGGCCGGAGUUUGAAGAAGAGCCGCUGAAAAAGAACCCUAAGGUGUAUAGCAGAGAGCAGGUUGAAGGGCUUAAGGCUUUUCUUGAAGCGGAGAAGGAAGCAUUUGGUUCUGUUGUUGAUGAUGAUGAUGAUGGUAUGAUAAUUGAACAGAAAAAGGGCAAUAGAAAAGACACUGAGGAGAAUGAGGAUGGCGAGAUGAUACAUAAGAAGGUGGAUGAGUUCUUUGGAGAAGAUAAGGAUCUAACUGAAGAUGAGAUGUUCUUGAAAAACUAUUGUCUUAACAAAAUGUGGGUGAACAAGGAGAGGGAUAAAGAGACUUAUGAUGAUAUUGGGGUUUCAGAGGAUGAGGAUGAGCUGGAAAAACAGGAACAAUACGAAGCAGAGUACAACUUCCGACACGAGGAAGAAAAAGAGGAUAGAGUUUUAGGUCACUCUAGGAUUGCAGAUGGUUCAGUGAGGAAGAAAAGCAGCAGCAGAAAGACACAAAGGAAGAACAAGGUAGAGAGGAUGGCGCAAGCAGAGUUUGAGAGGAAGGAGGAGCUGAAACAUCUGAAAAAUUUGAAGAAGAAAGAGAUUCAGGAGAAGCUUGAGAGUAUUCUUGUUACCGCAGGGAUUGGCAAGGAAAGUGCCUACAAUCUUGAUGCUGCUUAUCUUGAGGAAGAUUUUGAUCCAGAAGAAUAUGAUAAAGCCAUGAAAGAGAUGUUUGGUGCAGAUUAUUACAAUACUGAGGAUGUUGAUCCUGGCUUUGGAAGUGAUGGCGGGGAUGACCUGGAAAAGCCAGACUUUGAUAAGGAAGAUAAACUUAUAGGUUUGACAGAAGGUUGGGAUUCAGUUGAUACAAUGGAGGGGUUUGAGGGUAUGAGAAAGUUGUUGUUGAAAAAAAGUGAUGAAGAGGAAGAGCCCUCCCACAUCGAAGGCAAGAGGAAGAGAAAGCAAAAGAUUUCUCUAAGAGAAAAAGUGGAACUUGACAAGGAACUUGAGGAGUAUUAUAAGUUGGACUAUGAGGGUACUAUAGGAGAUCUGAAAACUAGAUUCAAAUAUAGGUCUGUGUCAGCCGAGUCAUAUGGGCUUCAAGUAGAGGAGAUAUUAAUGGCGAAUGACAAGGAUUUGAAUCAGUAUGUUUCUUUAAAAAAGUUAGCCCCUUACCGCGAGAAGGAGUGGAAGGUGACAUAUCACCAAAAGUUGAAGAAGAAUAUGUUUCUUCAAGGAGGGAAGUCAGAUGAUAAAAUUUAUAGCAAGAAGCACAGGACAGAAGAGACCAGAAGUCAUAAAUUUAGAGAACAUAAGGAACCUAAUGAAGAUGCAAAUACGUUGUCCAAGCGCAGCAAAAAGAGGCGCAUGCAUGCCCAUUUGAAAUUAUCCAAAUCUAGGUUAUUAGCUUAUGGAAAAAUCCCCUCCAAGCAGCAUAAAAAUCAUUAAAGAAACAUGACAAGCAACGGAGAGGAAGAACGAAACAAGGAAGGUGGAGGCGGAGGCAGCAGCUCUGCUGGUGGUGGUUCUCCUAGUCCGAAUCUCUAAUGGAGGUUCAAUCAGACACUUAGAAGCGUUUUUAAGAGAAUUUAGUUUUGGUCAUUGCUGAAAUGAUAAUUCCCAGCGUUGGAUGGUUCUGGUGAAUAAAAUCAUGAUGUGUACUACUGAUUUUCUCACAAACUACAUCUGUUUGUUGAUUUGGAGAGAGAGACUGUUGAAGCACUAUACAGAGAGCUAGCUGUGCUUGGUCUGAUUUGGAUAAAUUUAGCCUUCUCAUGCUGAAUCAUUAGUUCAUGUCAAUGUCAGCUUAUAAUUUUGGUGUUUUAUAUCUGAACAUCAAGCUAUUACAAAUUGUUUCUAUUUAUCCUUAUUUUGGCUUUUCUUUUUUGUUAUUUCCAUUCGCUUUGUUUUUUUGUUGCCGUUGUCAUCUCAUUGUCGUCGUGAUUUCUUUGUCAAAGCAGAUUAAGAUUUGUAUGUAUUUCAGCGCACUUCCACAUAACUGUCUUUUAUUAGAGAAAAUAUUUUGUCCGGACAUCGCUAGUCCGGGGGGAAUAUUUCUUCCUUUUAUUAAGCAGCCGUUUGGUGGCAUUUGGUCGCCUAAUUGAAGGGUGUAAUGUAAAUCAGAUAAA